rnacentral:rRNA from 1 species
CCUACGGGUGGCAGCAGUGGGGAAUAUUGGACAAUGGGCGAAAGCCUGAUCCAGCCAUGCCGCGUGUGUGAAGAAGGCCUUCGGGUUGUAAAGCACUUUCAGUGGGGAAGAAAGCCUUGGGGCUAAUACCCUCGAGGAAGGACAUCACCCACAGAAGAAGCACCGGCUAACUCCGUGCCAGCAGCCGCGGUAAUACGGAGGGUGCGAGCGUUAAUCGGAAUUACUGGGCGUAAAGCGCGCGUAGGCGGUCUGAUAAGCCGGUUGUGAAAGCCCCGGGCUCAACCUGGGAACGGCAUCCGGAACUGUCAGGCUAGAGUGCAGGAGAGGAAGGUAAAAUUCCCGGUGUAGCGGUGAAAUGCGUAGAGAUCGGGAGGAAUACCAGUGGCGAAGGCGGCCUUCUGGACUGACACUGACGCUGAGGUGCGAAAGCGUGGGUAGCAAACAGGAUUAGAUACCCGGGUAGUC